AUGAAUUACAUUUUAUGGAAGUAGCAACUGGCGGACAAGCUUACGUAUUUUGUAUAAAUGAGAAACACCAGCACCACUUCUAUUUGAAAAGAAAAAAAGGAGCAGUAAGACAUGAAACCUUCAUUAGAUCCAAAGCCAAAUUAGUUCCAAGCAAAACAUAUCGCUUUUCUGGAUGUUCCGUCACCCAUUUCUCAGCCCAGGUACUCUUGCCGGAAGAAGGCAGUCCUACCAUCAUCAUAACUUCACAAUCGCGCAGAUUCAGAAAGCUAGGGCCUGUUAUGGCUUUCCCAUCUCCCAUGGCACAAGACCAUGGUCUAUAUCCUUGCACAUUCACCCAUUUGUCAGCCCAGGUACUCUUGCCGGAAGCAGGCAGUCCUACCAUCAUUAUAACUUCACAAUCGCACAGAUUCAGAAAGCUAGGGCCUGUUAUGGCUUUCCCAUCUUCCAUGGCACAAGACCAUGGUCUAUAUCCUUCCACAGGAGCUAAUCCGUCGUCUAGGCUAAACUGCAUGUGCACAACUACAUUUUUAAGCAAGACAUGAGGGAAAAGAGCUGAAUGCCACUGUAGAUUUUUCAUUGGACAGUCCACCACUUCAAGGCCAGUUGGACCUGCAUUAAAUUGCUUUGCUAUUCCCAGCCACUUCCCAUUUUUAGAGAAACCUAUGGAAGCCAAAGGGCUAGAC
rnacentral:lncRNA from 1 species